CCUACGGGAGGCAGCAGUGGGGAAUAUUGGUCAAUGGACGCAAGCCUGACCCAGCAACGCCGCGUGCAGGAAGACGGCUUUCGGGUUGUAAACUUCUUUUGUCAGGGACGAAGCAAGUGACGGUACCUGACGAAUAAGCCACGGCUAACUACGUGCCAGCAGCCGCGGUAAUACGUAGGUGGCAAGCGUUAUCCGGAUUUACUGGGUGUAAAGGGCGUGUAGGCGGGACUGCAAGUCAGAUGUGAAAACCACGGGCUCAACCUGUGGCCUGCAUUUGAAACUGUAGUUCUUGAGUACUGGAGAGGCAGACGGAAUUCGUAGUGUAGCGGUGAAAUGCGUAGAUAUUAGGAGGAACACCAGUGGCGAAGGCGGUCUGCUGGACAGCAACUGACGCUGAGGCGCGAAAGCGUGGGGAGCAAACAGGAUUAGAUACCCUGGUAGUC
rnacentral:rRNA from 1 species